GAUGAAGAACGCAGCGAAAUGCGAUAAGUAAUGUGAAUUGCAGAAUUCAGUGAAUCAUCGAAUCUUUGAACGCACAUUGCGCCCGCCAGUAUUCUGGCGGGCAUGCCUGUUCGAGCGUCAUUACAACCCUCAGGCCCCCGGGCCUGGCGUUGGGGAUCGGCGGAGCCCCCCGUGGGCACACGCCGCCCCCCAAAUACAGUGGCGGUCCCGCCGCAGCUUCCAUCGCGUAGUAGCUAACACCUCGCGACUGGAGAGCGGCGCGGCCACGCCGUAAAACACCCAACUCUUCUGAAGUUGACCUCGAAUCAGGUAGGAAUACCCGCUGAACUUAAGCAUAUCAAUAAGCGGAGGA
rnacentral:misc_RNA from 1 species